UACGGAGGGUGCAAGCGUUAAUCGGAAUGUACUGGGCGUAAAGCGCGCGUAGGCGGUUUUUUAAGUCGGAUGUGAAAGCCCCGGGCUCAACCUGGGAACUGCAUCCGAUACUGGAAGACUAGAAUGCGGGAGAGGGAGGUAGAAUUCCAUGUGUAGCAGUGAAAUGCGUAGAUAUAUGGAGGAAUACCAGUGGCGAAGGCGGCCUCCUGGCUCGACAUUGACGCUGAGGUGCGANAGCGUGGGGANCAACCGGU
rnacentral:rRNA from 1 species